ACGAAAACUCACACUUUCAUUCAUGUGCUAGCAUAAUUGCACAAGGGUUUUCUAAUCAUCAUUUAGCCUUUCAACACCAUUAGCUAACACAAUGUAGCAUUAGAACACAGGAGUGAUGGGUGCUGGAAAUGUUCCUCUGUACCUCUAUGUAGGUAUUCAUUAAAAAAUUUCCAUCUAGAAUAGUUAUUUACCUGUUAAUCAAGGUGGCAGGUAGAGACACAGAGUAAGAAUUUCAUUGCAGUAAUAACUUGUAUUGCUGCAAAUGACCAUAAAGCCUCUAAAUCCUUAUUUUUUCUGGUUUGGAUCCUGAACUAGCGUACUGUGAAACAUGAAGUCUUACAUCCUAACAGCUAUUUGAAUGAUAUUAAGCCGUAAAAAAAUCACCAAUUCUCCAACUUCAAGCGUCACUCCUUUACUUUUAUACUUUAAUACCAGCAUUAUUCAGCUUUCACAUCAUUCUGAGGUCAAAUUUCUACAAGACACUUGCAACAGAGUGUAAACUUUAAUGCCUCCAACAGAGGGAAUAAAACAGAUCCACCAUACGUAAACAAGAUAAUUACAGCAUUUGGAAGGGAUUGAGCAAGUAUUGCUUCGCAGGUAGAAAUACGGCUUUAGGCAACACAUAUCACUGUUUCGUAAGCUCUUCAACCACAUAUUUAUCUUCCCUGACAGCAAACAUUUAAAAUUCUCCUCUAAGCACAACUCUAGUGUGUUAUAUUAGUUCUGCUUUGCAAUCAGAAUACAUUUACGUCCAAAUACUGGAAUCUUUCAACAGAACCAGCAGCAUUUGUAGCUGUAUUUGGGUGUAAUCAGCUCUACAAAUUGGGUGGUGAGAAAACGCAAAUAGGAUUACAAACAGGACGUGGGACGUUAAUGUUACAAAAAACACAGUCUGGUCUGGUAAAGAAACCGCGUUCACGCCUGUUUUGGUUUCGUCUGCCAUGCAAUCGACCACAUCUGAGAUGAAGUAACACCUUUGAAGUGUAAGAGCAAUGUGGGCACACAGAGGGUAUUUAAAAGCUAAUGGAGUUUCCAAAGGGGAUCAUCCUGAAGUUGGAGAACACACGCGUGAUGUUUCGUUCAUUGGUAAGCUGUUUACACUCAUAGUCUCCUGUGGCACGAAGGCAGCUCGAACUGCAAAGGGAUUUCAAUUGCAAUAUGAAGUGCAAGAUGAAGUUUUUUCUGCUGAUGAUUUUCUGCUUGAUCAGUUCCCCAGUAGCUAAGUGUAAUCGUUUUGUUAGAUCUGACAGCGAUGAGGCGGGAAGUAACUGUCACUCCAGCAGUGGGUCUGACAGCGAUGAGAGCCAGUGCAGCCAACCACAACCUGAUGUGAACUCAUUGCUUCUUCAGCUUCUGCUUAAUCUGUUGCGAACGACAGCUGCUCCAACAACAACCACAACCACAACAGCGGCCACGACCACAGGCCCAAACACGCAGCCCCCCGAGACCACCGAGGCCAGAGGAGACAACGGGUGAUCUGCAUCGAUCCGAGAGCAAGAGCAGCAGCUUGGAUUACUUUGAUUUCAUUGUUCUAGAACAUAAUGAGAACUUCAUGAAAAAGAAAUUCAAGCUGUGUGUGUGUGUGUUGCAUUUUUAUACAGUGGAUUCAUAGUAUUUUGUUAGAGCCAUGGAUGAACCAGAUUUAGUGGCUUAUUGCUAAAAUAUAAAUGGAUUACUUUGCCUAUUUUCACACGUCAGUAUUGGUUUAGCAGCUGAUCCAAAUUUUGAUGUAUGUUUUGUUGACUUUCUGAUUAGCAUUGUGUUUUGUUUAACUCUCUUUCAUGUGAAAUGAAGCCAGAGUUAAUAUAAAACUUGAGAAAAUGCUGCGAUGUCUUUGAUUCGGCACACUGAGACGGGCACUUAGUCGGGCUGUAAUCAUGAGUUUUGCUGGAGGUGGGUCUUGCAGACUCCGAUGGGAGGGUGCUGACGACUCGCCGGUGUAAUAUCCACUCACCAUGACUGGAUCAGCACGGCUUAAGAAAGGGAUGAACUCUGAGCCAAUAAUAGCUGACUCUGCUCCAUCAGUGAAGCCUGUUGUGCUGCAUUUUGUGAAAAAUCUUGACUCACCCUCUCAUUCACUGCACUGUGCUGUAGACUCUUCUGACUUGGACAAAAAUACAUGAACGUCCUCUUAAAUUUAAACCUUUUUCUUAAUGUGCAUGUUAAUCACUCACUGUCUCUCUGAUGUGACUUAUCUGUGCCUUUUUCACAGGCACUUAUUAUGAAUGUAUUGUUAUUUUGAUUCAAGGAUGUCUUUUGGAAACUUUGCUAAUAAAAAAACAGCCAAAUAGGUGGAGAUUGGUGUGGAAAGAUACUUUGAAUGUGAACUGAAUGAGAUCUUUUUGCAUGCUUACUAAUACGAAUUUGAUGGGUUUGGGAGGGUGGUUUUGAAAAAUAAAACUGAAAAAAGA